rnacentral:tRNA from 1 species
GUUUUAAUAGUUUACGUAGAAUUCACCGCUGAAGGUGGUGGGGCGGGCUCAUGCCUUUAAAACA